rnacentral:rRNA from 1 species
UGGGGAAUAUUGGACAAUGGGCGAAAGCCUGAUCCAGCCAUGCCGCGUGUGUGAAGAAGGUCUUCGGAUUGUAAAGCACUUUAAGUUGGGAGGAAGGGUUGUAGAUUAAUACUCUGCAAUUUUGACGUUACCGACAGAAUAAGCACCGGCUAACUCUGUGCCAGCAGCCGCGGUAAUACAGAGGGUGCAAGCGUUAAUCGGAAUUACUGGGCGUAAAGCGCGCGUAGGUGGUUUGUUAAGUUGGAUGUGAAAUCCCCGGGCUCAACCUGGGAACUGCAUCCAAAACUGGCAAGCUAGAGUAUGGUAGAGGGUGGUGGAAUUUCCUGUGUAGCGGUGAAAUGCGUAGAUAUAGGAAGGAACACCAGUGGCGAAGGCGACCACCUGGACUGAUACUGACACUGAGGUGCGAAAGCGUGGGGAGCAAACAGGAUUAGAUACCCCUGUAGUCCCUGAGCGGGCUGGCAAGGCGCAU